rnacentral:misc_RNA from 1 species
AGAGAGAGAGAGAGAGAGAAUCAAACCAGAAAUAGUGAGGGAGAAAGAGAAUAAAGAGAGAUGGACGACUAGGCGAGAGAGAGAAUAAGAAGGAGAGAAAAUAUACUCCAAAAUCCAAAUGUCUUUUUUCUUUUCCUGAUGGUUACAACAUCAUUAACUGUAACCUUGAUGCCUGCCACAUCACCACUUGUAACUGGGAAACCUUAAGUAGUGGUCUUACUGUUAACCCAAUUAAAGUUGGUAAAGUUUUAAGAUACAAACUGAAAUUCAAGUAUAAGAGAGUGAAAUUAACACCAACUAUUAGGAACAAGAAAACAAGGCAUUGGGAAGGGAACAUUAAAACAAGGAUACCUUUCCUUUCACUAUAAGUUGCAGACAACUUAAGUUCCUCAUGGAAUCACCAUAAUCAUUAUCUCUUCCAAACAUAACAUUAAAAUAUUUCAAUAGUACAAUUAGAACAUGAUGUGACUAAUAAUUCCUUUUCUAACUCCAUUCACCAUAGUCCAAAAACCACCAUUGCUUUAGGUUUUUGACCUCUUACUCAUAUUUCUAAGGGUCACAGGCUCUCUUUAAGAUAUCACUAUUAACUUUUCAGGUAAUUUAAAUAUAUUUUCACCUUCCACAAAUACAUGCUAUUUGUUAGAUUGAUUUAUCAAUUAUCAUCAGCUCAGUGGGUUCAUUAAAGCAGUAAAAUUGUACCAUUUGCUGGCUUCAUUCCACUAACCUCAUCUAUAUUUUAGCAGUGAAACCCACGUUCCCAAGUAUUGCAAAGUA